GAAUUGACGGGGGCCCGCACAAGCAGCGGAGCGUGUGGUUUAAUUCGAAGCAACGCGAAGAACCUUACCAGGUCUUGACAUCCUCUGGAGUAUGCAGAAAUGCAUACGCCUUAUCGAAAGAUAAGGCAGAGAGACAGGUGGUGCAUGGUUGUCGUCAGCUCGUGUCGUGAGAUGUUGGGUUAAGUCCCGCAACGAGCGCAACCCUCGUCGUUAGUUGCCAGCGCGUGAAGGCGGGCACUCUAGCGAGACUGCCGUGGAUAACACGGAGGAAGAUGGGGAUGACGUCAAAUCAUCAUGCCCCUUAUGACCUGGGCUACACACGCGCUACAAUGGCCGGUACAAAGGGGAGCGAAGCGGUAACGCGGAGCAAAUCUCAAAAAAGCGGUCCCAGUUCAGAUUGCGGGCUGCAACCCGCCCACAUGAAGUCGGAGUUGCUAGUAAUCGCGGAUCAGCAUGCCGCGGUGAAUACGUUCCCGGGCCUUGUACACACCG
rnacentral:rRNA from 1 species